rnacentral:lncRNA from 1 species
UUCCCCAGGAAGUGCUCGAUGGAUAAAACAAGGGAACAAGGUUGAACAAGAAACAGCCUCGUCCGUCCUCCCUCCUUCCACCUGCCAGCGCUGAUGUGGGAAUGAAGUUUCUGGCGCUGCUGCUGAACUGUAAAUUGACUUCAGGGCAGAGACCAACUCCUGCAGCAUGUGAGGGGGGUGUGUCUGUGGAAGAGCUAAACCAACCUAUUUGCUGGCUGUCACCAAGAAAGCAUUCGGUCUAACCUCACAGUGAGCUUGUUAAAGACGCAGGAGCUCCAUGGCAACCUUCACAUCUCGUUUGAUGGAUGAUGUUGUUUACUACCAGGCAUGAAGUGAGAAACUUGCCGUAACCGAUGCCAAGCACUUUCAAGGUAUUUGCUACUGAAAGGUGACUAAGAGGCUGAGAUAAUUUUUAUAGCACCCACAGUUGUUUGUGGGCGCUGUUGUAAUUCUCAGCUAGGGCUGCAAGUGAGAAGGAG